rnacentral:rRNA from 1 species
AACAAGGUCUCCGUUGGUGAACCAGCGGAGGGAUCAUUACCGAGUUUACAACUCCCAAACCCAUGUGAACAUACCUACUGUUGCUUCGGCGGGAUUGCCCCGGGCACCUCGUGUGCCCCGGAUCAGGCGCCCGCCUAGGAAACUUAACUCUUGUUUUAUUUUGGAAUCUUCUGAGUAGUUUUUACAAAUAAAUAAAAACUUUCAACAACGGAUCUCUUGGUUCUGGCAUCGAUGAAGAACGCAGCGAAAUGCGAUAAGUAAUGUGAAUUGCAGAAUUCAGUGAAUCAUCGAAUCUUUGAACGCACAUUGCGCCCGCCAGUAUUCUGGCGGGCAUGCCUGUCUGAGCGUCAUUUCAACCCUCAUGCCCCUAGGGCGUGGUGUUGGGGAUCGGCCAAAGCCCGCGAGGGACGGCCGGCCCCUAAAUCUAGUGGCGGACCCGUCGUGGCCUCCUCUGCGAAGUAGUAAUAUUCCGCAUCGGACAGCGACGAGCCCCUGCCGUUAAACCCCCAACUUUCUAAGGUUGACCUCAGAUCAGGUAGGAAUACCCGCUGAACUUAAGCAUAUUCAUUAUUACUUUAAGGAGCAAAAGAAACCAACAGGGAUUGCCCUAGUAACGGCGAGUGAAGCGGCAACAGCUCAAAUUUGAAAUCUGGCGCAAGCCCGAGUUGUAAUUUGCAGAGGAUGUUUCUGGCGACGCGCCUUCCGAGUUCCCUGGAACGGGACGCCAUAGAGGGUGAGAGCCCCGUACGGUUGGAUGCCUAGCCUCUGUGAAACUCCUUCGACGAGUCGAGUAGUUUGGGAAUGCUGCUCUAAAUGGGAGGUAUACGUCUUCUAAAGCUAAAUACCGGCCAGAGACCGAUAGCGCACAAGUAGAGUGAUCGAAAGAUGAAAAGCACUUUGAAAAGAGGGUUAAAAAGUACGUGAAAUUGUUGAAAGGGAAGCGUUCAUGACCAGACUUGGGCAGGUUGAUCAUCCGUGGUUCUCCGCGGUGCACUCUGCCUGCCCAGGCCAGCAUCAGUUCGCUCCGGGGGAUAAAGGCUCUGGGAAUGUGGCUCCUCCGGGAGUGUUAUAGCCCGCUGCGUAAUACCCUGGGGUGGACUGAGGUUCGCGCUCUGCAAGGAUGCUGGCGUAGACGACAUCAACGACCCGUCUUAACCCCCGGGACCAGGG